GACAGAGGUGCCGAGCGUAGGCGGAAUCACUGGGCUUAAAGCGUGUGUAGGCGGGCGGGCAAGUACCUUGUGAAAUCCCACGGCUCAACCGUGGAACGGCUGGGUAUACUGCCUGUCUUGAGCCAACUAGGGGCGAGCGGAACAGACGGUGGAGCGGUGAAAUGCGUAGAUAUCGUCUGGAACGCCAAGGUGAAAAGCAGCUCGCUGGGGUUGUGCUGACGCUGGAGACGCGAAAGCGUGGGGAGCAAACAGG
rnacentral:rRNA from 1 species